CAAUAGCGUAUAUUAAAGUUGUUGCAGUUAAAAAGCUCGUAGUUGACACCUUGAGUAAAUCAGAGUGCUUAAAGCAGUCGUUGCAACACUACGGCUGCGACUUACCCUCGCGGGCUUAGUCGUAUGUCUGGUGACGUCGAAAGACGUUUGGACAUUGUCUUUGCUUUGCAUGGUACGUCGGAAGACGCCGUGUGAGUUGGUUGUGCUUACGGUGUGACACACCUCGUGUGUGCGCGUGCGCCAACGAGCACGGAAUGAAUCGAAAGGGAUGGAUCGAAGGCAUUGGUAUUGCGAGGCGAGAGGUGAAAUUCUAUGACCCUCGCAAGACUUCCCGAAGCGAAAGCGUCUGCCUAGGACGUCUUCAUUAAUCAUGAACGAAAGUUGAAGGAU
rnacentral:rRNA from 1 species